CUCAAGUCUCGGGCCGUUCUAGGGGAGCCGCGUGGUCUUUGCUGCUGGGGACGCUGGAACCACGCGGCGUGCCCCUGCCGGCGCCGGCCGCGGUCUUGCCGCCCUCAGUGAGGUGGAAGCCGACGUGAGAAAAGCAGAGAUGGUGGAUGGAAGCAAAGAGACUGGGUCUUGACGGUGUUGACUAACCGUAUGGGUCCGGCUGGACCUCAGUCGGCCUCUCAGUUAAAGUCGCCACAGCGAAUUCUCUUUUUUGUCUCAACCAGUCGGAUUUUCUGGCACUUGCAUCCGGAAGAACCCUGGUUAGUAGAGCUGAAAGCAAGUGUGCAGAAUGGCUCUGCCUUCGGGGUGUGCCGGCUGUGGCUAAGUCUGGGGACAUCACGUGCUGACGCUGUGGGCCCGGGGAGACCCCUGUCCUGCCCACCCAAUUCACAGGUGGAGAAACGGAGGCCCAGGAACGGGGGGGGGGGGGACUCCCGGAAUGGCUCGAACGCCCAGGCUCAGCGACUUCAGGGUGUCCACAGAGCUUUGCGCCAGGUGCUGUGGGGAACCAAGCGCCCUUGACCCCUGGGGAAGGGUUUCAGAGCCUGGCGGUGGGCCGCUUUGUCUGGCCUUUGAUGACGGAUAUGACAGCGGUACACGAAGCGCCCCGGUGCAGGAAGCUGAGGACAGAGCUCAGAGUUGUGUCAAAACAAAAUCUGCGCGUUGGGUACAUCUGUAUUUUGUUCUGGGUCACUGGCUGCCGUCUGCUGUCUGCCACGGAAGAAGGUUGAAUCUCCUAGGAGACUCUUGCUUGCCGAGAGCCCGCAGCCCAGUCUCCCUGUCUCCAACCAAGCCUGUUUUCUGUUCGCCAAAGUUGAAAUCAAACACCUGGCCGUGGGGGCAGUCACAGUCCCCGCGUGACGCCGCAGGUGCGUUCUCUGCCUACCUUUGCAUUCAUUUCAGACCGUCGGGCUACGCUUGGCUGAUCCCCGCCUUCAGAACAGCCGACCCUUCCCCCAGAGAGAAGAGCUUCCUUGAAAAUCAUACAUUUUCAUUUUAA
rnacentral:lncRNA from 1 species